UGGGGGAUAUUGCACAAUGGGCGAAAGCCUGAUGCAGCGACGCCGCGUGGGGGAUGAAGGCUUUCGGGUUGUAAACCUCUUUCGCUAUCGAACAAGGCCCGCUUAGGGUGGGUUGAGGGUAGGUGGAGAAGAAGCGCCGGCUAACUACGUGCCAGCAGCCGCGGUAAGACGUAGGGCGCGAGCGUUGUCCGGAAUUAUUGGGCGUAAAGGGCUUGAAGGCGGCUUGUUGCGCCUGCUGUGAAAACGCGGGGCUUAACUUCGCGCGUGCAGUGGGUACGGGCAGGCUUGAGUGUGGUAGUGGUGACUGGAAUUCCAGGUGUAGCGGUGGAAUGCGCAGAUAUCUGGAGGAACACCGAUGGCGAAGGCAGGUCACUGGGCCAUUACUGACGCUGAGGAGCGAAAGCAUGGGUAGCUAACAGG
rnacentral:rRNA from 1 species